CGUGGACUACAAAAUAAAACCCUCUGAUGAUGACGUGUCUGACUGGCUCCUUCACACAGGUGGGCUAGGCCCACUGUCCCGCCCACAGUCAGGUAUAAAGGUGCAGCUGUACUUGCUGUGAUUUUGAUUGUUGUUUAUUAGCUUGUUGUUUUUAGCUUGUUGUCUGUUUUUGCUGCAGAUACAAUGGCUGAGCACAAUGAGACGAGGCGUCAUACUGGUCGGCUCCGGCAGCCGGGGGAAGACGAAGCUGUCUGGCCCAGGGAGAUUUUGAUUCGGAACCGUGCUGCCGAUUCCGAUAACACGUUUACAAAUAACCAGGAGGCAGCUCAUCAAGUUAACAGUCACAUUCAACUUACAGUCAUGCCCUCCACGGCUCCUGGGCGCUGAAAAUGCUGAAACACCAUGACCGCCUCCAGGUAAUAGCGGUACAUGGUCUUUUCAUUUUCGGUGAUGGGCUGGUUGGUGAUCAACUUCCCAUAGAGGUUCAGGAAGUCUUUUUUUGCAACUUGCAAAAUCUCCUGGCACUUCCUGACAGACUUCAUGCCGCCGACAAAAUGAUCCCAUCUAAAUCACAGAAAAGAGACAUGAUAUAUGCCCGCAUGCAUGACGGGACACCACCAGUAGAUGCCCAAAGAUGGAAGAGGAGGAUGAAGAUCCCUCGGGCAGUCUUCCCUUCCCCUUCUCCUUCCCCUUCUACUUUCCCUUCCCCUUCUACUUUCCCUUCCCCUUCUCCUUAGGUCUGCGCACCAGCAGCAUCCUCAUCCUCAUGAGAAUAAGAAUGAGGAUGCCGAGUCCACCUCAUUAGUCCUCCAUGUUGUUUUUGAAAAAAUAAAAUAUA